rnacentral:tRNA from 1 species
UUUCUGGUGGCUCAGAUGGUAAAGAAUCUGCCUGAAAUGCAGGAGUCCUGGGUUCGAUCCCCAGGUUGGAAA